ensembl:misc_RNA Metazoa_SRP Metazoan signal recognition particle RNA
GCUGGGUGUGGUGGUGCAUGCCUGUAGUCCCAGCUACUUGGGAGGCUGAGGCAGGAGGAUCCCUUGAGACCAGGAGUUCAAGGUUGCAGUUAGCUGCUAACUGCAGAUUGUACCACUGCACUCCAGCCUGGGCAACAAAGUGAGAUCCUAUCUCAA